rnacentral:rRNA from 1 species
GAUAAACGCUGGCGGCGUGCUUUAUGCAUGCAAGUCGAACGGUCUCGAUUUAUCGAGAUAGUGGCGAACGGGUGAGUAACGCGUAAGUAACCUGCCCCUAAGUAGGGGAUAACUCUGAGAAAUUGGAGCUAAUACCGUAGUGGCGAUGGAGGUAAUGCUCCAUUACUAAAGCCUUAGGGCGCUUGGGGAGGGGCUUGCGUCCGAUUAGCUAGUUGGUAGAGUAAUGGUUUACCAAGGCGAUGAUCGGUAGCUGGUCUGAGAGGAUGACCAGCCACACUGGGACUGAGACACGGCCCAGACUCCUACGGGAGGCAGCAGCAAGGAAUAUUGUGCAAUGGGCGAAAGCCUGACACAGCGACGCCGCGUGAGGGAUGAAGGCCUUCGGGUUGUAAACCUCUUUUCUCAGGGAAGAAUAAUGACGGUACCUGAGGAAUAAGUCACGGCUAACUACGUGCCAGCAGCCGCGGUAAUACGUAGGUGGCAAGCGUUAUCCGGAUUUAUUGGGUGUAAAGAGGGCGUAGGUGGCCUUUCAAGUCGGAUGUAAAAUCUCCCGGCUUAACUGGGAGCGACCAUUCGAUACUGCUAGGCUAGAGGGCAGCAGAAGGAGGUGGAAUUCCCGGUGGAGUGGUGAAAUGCGUAGAUAUCGGGAGGAACACCAGUGGCGAAGGCGGCCUCCUAGGCUGUUUCUGACGCUGAGGCCCGAAAGCAUGGGUAGCGAACAGGAUUAGAUACCCUGGUAGUCCAUGCCAUAAACUAUGGACGCUAGGUGUAGGGAGUAUCGACCCUUUCUGUGCCGAAGCUAACGCGUUAAGUGUCCCACCUGGGGAGACGACCGCAAGGUU